ensembl:lncRNA
GAAAUUCAAGGAUUCGAGUGAUAAAGUCUCAACAUGAAAGUCCGUCACAUUGUUAUCUGCUUCAUCUUCCUCACACUGCAGGAUGGAAACACUGUUCCUUACAAUGCAAAGAUUGCCAUGCACACAGGAGUGGAAGGAGGAAACAUCACAGUUAAAUGUUCAUUUUAUAUCUUUGGAAAGUGGAAGCUCUUAUUUUUUUAUGUCAGCAUCACACAGCUGGAAAAAUCUGACUCGGGGCUGUACCGGUGCUAUUUGGACAGAGACUUGGAUCCAUAUUUGUUUGAUAGCUUUCAGCUCACGGUGACAGAAGCAUCAACAGCUUCAACACCAGCAUUGGGCCCGCAAUCUUUUUCAACUUCCACAGCAAUCACUAAACAGCCUGAAAUAACAUUUGUAAAUUCAGGUUUUCUCUGGCCUGUGGUUAUAGCUGUAGUCAUGGUGUUUUUGGUGUUGUUUGUUGUUGUGCAUCUCAUCUGCAAAAAGAAGACUACGGACUCUUGUUUGAAGAAACAGAAAAUUAUGAAUUAUGAAAAGAGCGAGAUUGUUCUCUAUGACAAUCUUCUGACGUUGCCACCUGAAGAGUCAGUAUACCAGAGCCUGGAUCCAGCCAGCAGGGAUGAAGACCAAGUGUACCUUACACUUAAACAGACAUGAAAGCACAAAUAAUCCAGCAUUCAGGCCUGAAUUUAUGUGUCACAACAGACACAGAUUGAUACAACAGACAACAUCUUUAAACACUUCUUUAUUCUUCACUUUACUAAAAGAUAACGAUUUUACAGAUUGAGCAUUAUGAUCAUUAUAAUAUUUUGGUUUAAAAUAAUUUCUCUUCUCAUUCUGGUGCAAAAUUAGAGCUCAUCUUAUAUUCAAAGGCACCACCUGGGGGUGCUGUAGGAGUAGUGACAAAUAUCAGGAUUAAAUAACAGCUCAUCAAACUGAUCUGUAAAGUUGCAAAGCAAUAAUAAACAUUUGUAUAUUGGUAUGUCUUCUUUCCAAACAGGUUUUCCAAACUCUGAGAACAUCUGAGAACCAGA